AAAUUGAAAAUUUUAUUGUGAAAUUGACAAAAUGAGAUUAGGGGGGUAGGGCACUAAAGAAAAAUUUGGACCAUUUUAAAGAGAUUGUGACGGGCAACGACUAUAUAGGUGUUGUAGAGGAGACAUUGGCGCAUCGUAUAAGAAAAUCCCCAGAGUGGUUUAUGUUCGAAAAUCUGAAGUUACGGUUAAAAAACUGAAAACUUUAUUGUGAAAUUGACAAAAUGAGAUUAGGGGGUAGGGCACUAAAAGAAAAAUUUGGACCAUUUUAAAGAGAUUGUGACGGGCAACGACUAUAUAGGUGUUGUAGAGGAGACAAUGGCGCAUCGUUUAAGAAAAUUUCCAGAGUGGUUUAUGUUCGAAAAUCUGAAGUUACGGUUAAAAAACUGAAAUUGUGAAAUUGACAAAAUGAGAUUAGGGGGGUAGGCCAAUUUAAGUUAAUUUUGCACCAAUUUCAAGAGAUUGUGACGGGCAACGACUAUAUAGGUGUUGUAGAAGAGACAAUGGCGCAUCGUUCAAGAAAAUCUCCAGAGUGUUUUGUGUUCGAAAAUCUGAAGUUACGGUUAAAAAACUGAAAAUUUUAUUGUGAAAUUGACAAAAUUAGAUUAGGGGGGUAGGGCACUAAAAGAAAAAUUUGAACCAUUUUAAAGAGAUUGUGACGGGCAACGACUAUAUAGGUAUUGUAGAGGAGACAUUGGCGCAACGUUUAAGAAAAUCUCCAGAGUGGUUUAUGUUCGAAAAUCUGAAGUUACGGUUAAAAAACUGAAAACUUUAUUGUGAAAUUGACAAAAUGAGAUUAGGGGGUAGGGCACUAAAAGAAAAAUUUGGACCAUUUUAAAGAGAUUGUGACGGGCAACGACUAUAAAGGUGUUGUAGAGGAGACAAUGGCGCAUCGUUUAAGAAAAUCUCCAGAGUGGUUUAUGUUCGAAAAUCUGAAGUUACGGUUAAAAAACUGAAAAUUUUAUUGUGAAAUUGACAAAAUUAGAUUAGGGGGGUAGGGCACUAAAAGAAAAAUUUGGACCAUUUUAAAGAGAUUGUGACGGGCAACGACUAUAUAGGUAUUGUAGUGGAGACAUUGGCGCAACGUUUAAGAAAAUCUCCAGAGUGGUUUAUGUUCGAAAAUCUGAAGUUACGGUUAAAAAACUGAAAUUGUGAAAUUGACAAAAUGAGAUUAGGGGGGUAGGCCAAUUUAAGUUAAUUUUGCACCAAUUUCAAGAGAUUGUGACGGGCAACGACUAUAUAGGUGUUGUAGAGGAGACAAUGGCGCAUCGUUUAAGAAAAUCUCCAGAGUGGUUUAUGUUCGAAAAUCUGAAGUUACGGUUAAAAAACUGAAAUUGUGAAAUUGACAAAAUGAGAUUAGGGGGGUAGGCCAAUUUAAGUUAAUUUUGCACCAAUUUCAAGAGAUUGUGACGGGCAACGACUAUAUAGGUGUUGUAGAAGAGACAAUGGCGCAUCGUUCAAGAAAAUCUCCAGAGUGUUUUGUGUUCGAAAAUCUGAAGUUACGGUUAAAAAACUGAAAAUUUUAUUGUGAAAUUGACAAAAUUAGAUUAGGGGGGUAGGGCACUAAAAGAAAAAUUUGGACCAUUUUGAAGAGAUUGUGACGGGCAACGACUAUAUAGGUAUUGUAGAGGAGACAUUGGCGCAACGUUUAAGAAAAUCUCCAGAGUGGUUUAUGUUCGAAAAUCUGAAGUUACGGUUAAAAAACUGAAAACUUUAUUGUGAAAUUGACAAAAUGAGAUUAGGGGGUAGGGCAUUAAAAGAAAAAUUUGGACCAUUUUAAAGAGAUUGUGACGGGCAACGACUAUAUAGGUGUUGUAGAGGAGACAAUGGCGCAUCGUUUAAGAAAAUCUCCAGAGUGGUUUAUGUUCGAAAAUCUGAAGUUACGGUUAAAAAACUGAAAAUUUUAUUGUGAAAUUGACAAAAUUAGAUUAGGGGGGUAGGGCACUAAAAGAAAAAUUUGGACCAUUUUGAAGAGAUUGUGACGGGCAACGACUAUAUAGGUGUUGUAGAGGAG